rnacentral:rRNA from 1 species
CGGACGACGCCGGCGGCGUGCCUAAGACAUGCAAGUCGAGCGGGGAGACUUCGGUCUCCCGCGGCGGACGGGUGAGUAACGCGUGGGCAACCUGCCCUUCAGCCCGGGAUAACUGCCUGAAAGGGCGGCUAAUACCGGAUGCGGUGAAACGGACGCAUGUUGGUUUCACGAAAAUUACGGUGCUGAAGGAUGGGCCCGCGUCCCAUUAGCUGGUUGGUGAGGUAGCGGCCCACCAAGGCGACGAUGGGUAGCCGGCCUGAGAGGGUGGACGGCCACACUGGAACUGAGAAACGGUCCAGACUCCUACGGGAGGCAGCAGUGGGGAAUAUUGGGCAAUGGGCGAAAGCCUGACCCAGCAACGCCGCGUGAAGGAAGAAGGUUUUCGGAUUGUAAACUUCUGUCCUCAGGGAAGAAGGAAGUGACGGUACCUGAGGAGGAAGCCCCGGCUAACUACGUG